UUUGGUUCAUUGGUUGACACUGCGUGUCUGAUUGACAGAAACAACAGGUGAGGCUGUUAGUCUGAGCAGACAGCCAGAACGAAUGUGUGUGCGCUUGAGCAUUUAGGCCUAUAUUGUUUCAUUUCUUUGAAUUAGUUCAUUCUAUUCAUUUAAAUCUUUUGAUUAUUCAUUUAAUUUUGGGCUAUUUUUAUAAAUAGAUUCGGCUCUUCUGAUUCGCGAACGACCCAUCACUAAUCCAGCACUUCUUUACAUUGUCAUCAAUGUUAAUAAAGAAGUGCAGAACAAGCCAUUUUAGUUUACUGCAAUUGUUUCUAAAACCGUAAUGCCACCAUAAACAGUAAGAGAUGACAGUGCCAGUGGUGAACCUUUCUUUUGCUGCGUGUGGAUUCCUGGGUCUCUACCAUGUGGAGCCAUACUGAGACAUGGAGACAAGCUGCUGGGCUCUCUCAGGGCAUGUGCUGGAGCUCUGGUGGCUGCAGUGAUGAUCACUGCUCCAGACAAACUAGAGGGAGGACAUCGAGGAGUUUCUGCCUGGCGAUGCCCACAGUAAAGCAGGCAAUCGCCUUCACAUCUCAAUAACGCAUUCAAAAAGUGGCAAGAAAACCAUCCUAUCCAGUUUAGCCUCCAGGGAGGACCUCAUAAAGCUAGCCUGCCACAAGCCUGAGCAGAUUAUAUUACUGUAUCUUACUAUAAACCUUGGCUUUAACACAAAAUGUUGUCGUAAAUGUUUAUGAGGAGCACGGCCAUUGUUUUCAUAUCUUGCAAUAUGUUUGGGUCAAGGAACAUUUCAAAAUCUCUUUCACUACAUAUUUUUGGAUUUGGUCUGACCUAAUUCCUUUGCUUCUUUUAAUUUAAGGCACUCUUAGCCAGUCGUUUUGUGCCUGUCUAUGCUGGAAUCAAACCGGUGGAAUGACAAGGACAGGUAAUAACUUUAGCUGCAUCUCAAAC